GAGGAAACUACGGGCGUAAUACCGGAUGUGGUACGGAGACAUAAGUCUCUUACUAAAGGUAGCUUCGGCUUCCGCAUUGGAGGGGCCCGCGGCCCAUUAGCUAGUUGGUGGGGUCAAGGCCUACCAAGGCAACGAUGGGUAGGCUGGUCUGAGAGGACGAUCAGCCACACUGGGACUGAGACACGGCCCAGACUCCUACGGGAGGCAGCAGUGGGGAAUCUUGCGCGAUGCGCGAAAGCGUGACGCAGCAACACCGCGUGAGGGAAGACGGCCUUAGGGUUGUAAACCUCUUUCAGAUGGGACGAAGGUGAUGCGGUGAAUAGCCGAUGUCAUUGACGGUACCGUCAGAAGAAGCUCCGGCUAACUACGUG
rnacentral:rRNA from 1 species